rnacentral:rRNA from 1 species
GACGAACGCUGGCGGCGUGCUUAACACAUGCAAGUCGAACGGAAAGGCCCUGCUUUUGUGGGUGCUCGAGUGGCGAACGGGUGAGUAACACGUGAGUAACCUGCCCUUGACUUUGGGAUAACUUCAGGAAACUGGGGCUAAUACCCGAUAGGAGCUCCCGCUGCAUGGUGGGGGUUGGAAAGUUUCGGCGGUUGGGGAUGGACUCGCGGCUUAUCAGCUUGUUGGUGGGGUAGUGGCUUACCAAGGCUUUGACGGGUAGCCGGCCUGAGAGGGUGACCGGCCACAUUGGGACUGAGAUACGGCCCAGACUCCUACGGGAGGCAGCAGUGGGGAAUAUUGCACAAUGGGCGGAAGCCUGAUGCAGCAACGCCGCGUGCGGGAUGACGGCCUUCGGGUUGUAAACCGCUUUCGCCUGUGACGAAGCGUGAGUGACGGUAAUGGGUAAAGAAGCACCGGCUAACUACGUG